CAUCUGGGAAUGAGGUUCUCCCGAGGUAUAAACCUAAACCGCUUAUUAAAGCUGAUGACUUCUACGAC
rnacentral:ncRNA from 1 species